rnacentral:rRNA from 1 species
ACGGGAGGCAGCAGUGGGGAAUAUUGGGCAAUGGGCGCAAGCCUGACCCAGCGACGCCGCGUGAGGGAAGAAGGUCUUCGGAUUGUAAACCUCUUUCAGCAGGGAAGAAGCAAGUGACGGUACCUGCAGAAGAAGUCACGGCUAACUACGUGCCAGCAGCCGCGGUAAUACGUAGGUGGCAAGCGUUAUCCGGAUUUACUGGGUGUAAAGGGCGCGUAGGCGGGGAUGCAAGUCAGAUGUGAAAUCCAUGGGCUCAACCCAUGAACUGCAUUUGAAACUGUAUCUCUUGAGUGCUGGAGAGGUAGAUGGAAUUCCUAGUGUAGCGGUGAAAUGCGUAGAUAUUAGGAAGAACACCAGUGGCGAAGGCGAUCUACUGGACAGUAACUGACGCUGAGGCGCGAAAGCGUGGGGAGCAAACAGGAUUAGAUACCCUGGUA